CUGGCUCAGACGAACGCUGGUAGCGUGGAUUAGGCAUGCAAGUCGAACGGGAUCCGGGAGGUAGCAAUAUUCCUGGUGAGAGUGGCGGAUUGGGGAGGAACACGUGAGCAACCUGCCUUGGAGUCGGGGAAAACCGUUGGAAACGACGGCUAAUACCGGAUGUGGCGCCCGGAGACAUCUUCGGAGCGCUAAAGGGGGCCGCAAGGCUCUCGCUCGUAGAGGGGCUCGCGCACCAUCAGCUUGUUGGCGGGGUAACGGCCCACCAAGGCCUACGGUUAGCUGGUCUGAGAGGAUGACCAGCCCCACUGGGACUGAGAUACUGCCCAGACUCCUACGGGAGGCUGCAGUCGAGGAUCAUUUGCAAUGGGCGAAAGCCUGACAAUGCGACGCUGCGUGGAGGAUGAAGGCCUUCGGGUUGUAAAACUCCUGUCAUGGGGGAACAGGCGAGGAAACCUAAUACGUUUCUUAGUUGAGUGUACCCCAAGAGGAAUUGGCGGCUAACUCUGUGCCAGCCGCAGC
rnacentral:rRNA from 1 species